rnacentral:rRNA from 1 species
CCUACGGGAGGCAGCAGUGAGGAAUAUUGGUCAAUGGCCGGAAGGCUGAACCAGCCAAGCCGCGUGAAGGACGAAGGUGCCAAGCAUUGUAAACGUCUUUUGUCAAGGGACAAAAGCGGGCACGAGAGCCGGACCGAGGGUACUUGAAGAAAAAGCAUCGGCUAACUCCGUGCCAGCAGCCGCGGUAAUACGGAGGAUGCGAGCGUUAUCCGGAUUUAGUGGGUUUAAAGGGUGCGUAGGCGGACGGUUAAGUCAGCGGGAAAAGCCCGGGGCGCAACCCCGGCGAGCCGUUGAAACUGGCUUUCUUGAGUUGUCGAGAGGUAUGCGGAAUGCGCGGUGUAGCGGU